AAAAAAUUGCUUCUAAUUUUACGGCAGACGGGACUUCAAAUCUUGGCAACUUUCAUAAUUCCCGCUACACGUUAAAGAAUUUAGACAACGUAACGUAGAAUUUUCAUAAAAUGUAUUUGUCAGUCUCUCUCCCUUUCUCUCUCCAUUUUAAUGUGUUCCCCAGCUGUUGAAGAAUUCCUAACAUUGACUAUCAUCUGUUAACUCUUUACCUGUCCAAAGCAUUUUCAUUAAUUUGUCCUAAACGUCUCUGUUUUCAGUCUUUUAGUUAACUCUUGCUUCAUAUGUCCUGAGUAAUAUAAAGCUCUCUUUCCUCUCAAAAAUCCCAAGUUACUUAUGUGGUGGUUGAAAAGAAAUUUAGUAUGUGCAUCAGAUAUGAUCUAUGGACGUCAGGGGAAUAUGUUCUGGAUAUCAGAUAUGAUACACAAGGGAGGAAAACGGUUAAGGGGAAAAUUACUACUGGUUCUGCAGAUCACUGUUGUGAAGGAAUUCUUACAUAGAAAUAACAAAGUUUGUCAGCGAAGGUCUCCUUUGGGGUUGAUCGAUCAUUCUAGAAUCGAAGAAAUAAAGAAACAGUAGUAAAAACUGGUGCCACUCGAUUGGAAAAUCAUAUUUCCUGAAGACGUUUUUCGUGGUGGAAUAUAAUUUUGGUAAGAAGCAGCAACACUUUAGGAAUAUCGCUGCUAAACCUGGACUGUCAGAUGCUGCAUCGAAUGUUGGCAUCUGGACACUAAACAAUGGGAUGGAUAUAAGAGAGUCUCAGAGACCAAGCUUUACUGAGAACCAAAGAAAUAUGAAAAAGUUGGA